rnacentral:rRNA from 1 species
CGUAAAGAGCUCGUAGGUGGUUUGUCGCGUUGUUCGUGAAAUCUCACGGCUUAACUGUGAGCGUGCGGGCGAUACGGGCAGACUUGAGUACUGCAGGGGAGACUGGAAUUCCUGGUGUAGCGGUGGAAUGCGCAGAUAUCAGGAGGAACACCGGUGGCGAAGGCGGGUCUCUGGGCAGUAACUGACGCUGAGGAGCGAAAGCGUGGGGAGCGAACAGGAUUAGAUACCCUGGUAGUCCACGCCGUAAACGGUGGGUACUAGGUGUGGGUUUCCUUCCUUGGGAUCCGUGCCGUAGCUAACGCAUUAAGUACCCCGCCUGGGGAGUACGGCCGCAAGGCUAAAACUCAAAGAAAUUGACGGGGGCCCGCACAAGCGGCGGAGCAUGUGGAUUAAUUCGAUGCAACGCGAAGAACCUUACCUGGGUUUGACAUGCACAGGACGCCGGCAGAGAUGUCGGUUCCCUUGUGGCCUGUGUGCAGGUGGUGCAUGGCUGUCGUCAGCUCGUGUCGUGAGAUGUUGGGUUAAGUCCCGCAACGAGCGCAACCCUUGUCUCAUGUUGCCAGCGGGUAAUGCCGGGGACUCGUGAGAGACUGCCGGGGUCAACUCGGAGGAAGGUGGGGAUGACGUCAAGUCAUCAUGCCCCUUAUGUCCAGGGCUUCACACAUGCUACAAUGGCCGGUACAAAGGGCUGCGAUGCCGCGAGGUUAAGCGAAUCCUUUUAAAGCCGGUCUCAGUUCGGAUCGGGGUCUGCAACUCGACCCCGUGAAGUCGGAGUCGCUAGUAAUC